rnacentral:rRNA from 1 species
AUGGGGGAGCAGAAGGGGAAUAUUCUGAUGGGGAAGUACGAGAUGGGGAAGAUGCUCGGGCAAGGGACCUUUGCCAAGGUCUACCAUGCCCGUAACAUCGAGACCUCGCAGAGUGUCGCCAUCAAGGUGACUGACAAGGAGAAGGUUCUGAAGGGCGGGCUCACGGAUCAGAUCAAGCGGGAGAUCUCUGUGAUGAAGCUGGUGAAGCACCCGAACAUUGUUCAGAUGUAUGAGGUCAUGGCGACCAAAACAAAGAUUUACUUUGUGUUGGAGCAUGUGAAGGGUGGAGAGCUGUUCAACAAGGUUCAGAGAGGAAGGCUCAAGGAAGAUGCUGCAAGGAAGUACUUCCAGCAGCUGAUCUGCGCAGUUGACUUUUGUCACAGCAGGGGCGUCUAUCACCGUGAUUUGAAGCCGGAGAACCUUCUUCUUGAUGAGAACAGCAACCUGAAGGUUUCAGAUUUCGGUCUCAGUACCAUUUCUGAAUGCAGAAGACUUGACGGGUUGCUCCACACAUCCUGCGGCACGCCUGCUUAUGUUGCUCCCGAAGUGAUCAAUAGGAAAGGCUAUGAUGGAGCCAAGGCUGACAUCUGGUCCUGUGGGGUGAUCCUCUUUGUGCUUUUGGCUGGGUAUCUCCCGUUCCAGGAUAAGAAUCUGAUGAAUAUGUAUAAGAAGAUUGGGAAAGCAGAAUUCAAAUGCCCCAGCUGGUUCUCUUCAGAUAUCCGAAGGCUUCUGCUAAGGAUUCUUGAUCCUAACCCCAGCACAAGGAUCUCGAUUGAGAGAAUCAUGGAACAUCCUUGGUUCAGGAAGGGUCUAGAUGCAAAGCUGCUCAGAUACAAUUUACAAGCAAAAGAUGCCGUUCCUGCUGCUGACAUGACUGUGACUUCUGAUCCCUUGAGCUGCAGCAACUCAGCAACAGAGGGCAAGGAACAAGGAGCAAAGAAGCUCUCCAACUUGAAUGCUUUUGAUAUAAUCUCCCUCUCAACUGGACUCGACCUCUCUGGUAUGUUUGAGGACAAUGACAAGAAGAGGGAGUCCAAGUUCACAUCCACCAACUCGGCUUCGACGAUCGUGUCAAAGAUCGAAGACAUUGCAAAGUGCAUGCGACUGAAGCUCGUCAAGAAAGAUGGUGGCAUGAUGAGGAUGGAAAGCUUCAAGCCUGGAAGGAAAGGUGUGAUGUCCAUUGAUGCAGAGAUAUUCGAGGUGACCCCUGACUUCCAUCUCGUGGAGUUAAAGAAGACAAACGGUGAUACUAUCGAGUACCAGAAGGUCUUGAACCAGGAGAUGAGGCCGGCGCUGAAGGACAUAGUCUGGGCUUGGCAAGGCGAGCAGCAGCCGCCCCCGCCGCAGCAAUCAUGUUAA